AUUAUUUGAUUCCAGUAUAGUCUUUAUUUAAUUUGGCGAUUUGGAUGGUUGAUGAUUUUAGAUUUUGUUGUUUUAGAUUUUUUGUUAUUUUUGAUCUGGUAUUAGUAUAGAUUUUAGAUAGUUUGGAUCCAAACUUCGGUGACUUUGCUCCGGGACCGGUGAAGGUGGAACGAAAAGGAAGAAGAAGAGGCGACUUUGCUCCAGGAAAUGAUUUCUCCGACUUGAAGAAGAGGCGACUUUGCUCUGGGAAAUGAUUUCUCCGACUUUUCUCCGACUUUUUCUCUUCUUACGUAUCAUUGGUGGAGGUGGUGGCUAUGGAGGUCGCCGGAAAAGUGGUGGCAGUGGUGGCUAGGUUAUAGACAAUUGGUCUUUAAUUUUCGAUUUGUGUUGAUUGUUGUCGCCAUUGUUGAUUGCAAUGAAAAAGAUGAGAAAGAGAAAAUAGAAUUGAAAAUGGAAUAUUAGAAAUGUUAAUUUAUAUUUUGACUGUUUUGCCCUUUGUUUAAUAAGAGUUGUUUAUUUAAUAAUUAAAAAAAAUAAAUUUGCCACAAACUUCUUAAGGCCCCACAUAAUAAGCCACGUCAGCAAUUGCUGACGUGGCGUGUUCAAUUUGUGUAAUUAAAAAAAAUUAAUAGUUUAAUAAUCUAAUUGGCAAAAUUAAAAAGCAGAUCACCAAAAUGAAAUAUGCCAUAUAGUUUAGCCUACUAAUUACUACUACUAUACUCCUCUUAUGCUAUUCAUUCAUUCCAUCACCAGUAAAUCAAAUGCAUACGAAAUAGACACGCACGGCACAGAGACUGACUGACUGACUGACUGACUGACUCACCAACACAUCUUUUUUAGAAGAAAGCAGAAAGAAAACCCUACCCUUUGCAGAUUCAAUAAAUAAGCUUAUCAACAUAGCCACCCUCUCUAAUCAUACACUCAACUUCUUCAUAAAAAUAUAAUCCUCCAAUAAUCUUACUACCACAUGAUCAUAUGAAUAAAAAUAUAAAUCCCUACAAAAAUAUGACAUGCUCAAACUUCAACUCUAGGUUGAUGAAUACGUACUGUACUACAAACCCCGGAAAAUAAAAAGUUAUGUAGGUUAAUUACGUACGUACACCUUCAAAUCUUAAGUACCACAUGCAUAAUCAACACUGCAGACUACCCUGAAACCACCGGCGAUGCAAGUAAUGGAAUUAACUCUGGGAGACCAAACACACUUGAGCAUUUGACGUAUUUAUUUAACCACAAACCUCAAGAGGCACAGCAGAGUCAAGUUUCACACGAUUCAGUCUCACUGUGCCAAGAACAUGCUCUGGGAGUUCUCCUUCUUCUCUUCCCUGCAAAACAGCUGUUGUCAAUAUACUCAUGUAGGACAUGAAUAUUUAGUUGCGAAACAAGUGAACAAUCACACUCAAGUAACUGUCACCAAAAGACGAACACCAGAAAAGAGAAAAACACAGGACAAUGUAACUAAGUGUAAACAAAUAAAAUAAAAUUGCUUCAGCAGGUUGCGCAUAGAAGCAGGAAUUAUAACAAGUCAUGUACCAAGCAUAAAUUUUCUCACUUUGUUCAAGUCCUGAAGAUAAUAAUAACAAGGUUCAAACUCAAAAGUCAUGCUAGGCACAACUGUUGUAAUGCCUUGUUCUCACAUAUAUCUUCCUUCUUCAAGACUUUCAUUUAACAUAAAAAUAACAAUAACAUACAGGACUGAAAGGAAAUGAAGAAGAAGUAGACACGGACCUCUAUCAAGAUUGCAAGAUCAACAACGAGACUUGUUACAUAUCCGAGGACAAGACCAAUGACACUCCUUGCUACCGAUGAUGAGCCGAUAUCUACAUCAAUCUGUGCAUAUGACAUGUCAAUAUGUUUAUAAAUUGCAAGGUCAAGUAACAAACAUCUCACUACUUGAUAAUAAUAAUAAUAUAGGCAUUAAAUUAUGAUACGAAUUAGUGAUUACGAUGUUGGCUUAAAUACAAUUUAAACCUUUAAGUUUUUCGUAUUUUACAACAUAAACCCUAAUGUUUCAAUUGUAAGAAAUGGAACCUUAAUAUCCUUUAAUUUCUAUAAAUAAAACUUUUUGGCCACCAAAGUUGGCAUUUCUUGCCGGAAUAAGUCACGUGUCUCAAAAUGAAAGGGUAAUUUAGUUUUUUAAAGGUAUAAAUACUGUUUAUAUUGGCUUCAUUUUUUCUCUUUUUUUUUACCCAUCAUCACACACUAAAAACAUAAAUACAAUUUUCUGUACUUCCAAAGAUAUUUAGGAGUAAUUUCCCAAAAUAACCUCAUUCGUAUCAAUUAUUACACGUCGGUGGCUGGAAUGUUUUAUUCAUAGAAAUUUAGGAACAUUAAGGUUCAAUGUCUUAUAAUUAAAUAUUGGAAUUUAAGUUGUAAAAUGCGAAAAACUUAAGGUUUAAAAAGUGUAUUCAAGAACAAUUAAACUAGGAAAGCAACAGAUUCUAUAAACUCUUCACCCAACCAUAUAUAAUCAUGAUAGAAUAUACCCACAAUUGCAUACAAGAAGUUCACAAUAAUAAAUUUCAACACCAUUACAGCAUGACAUAUAACUUUAAGACGAUUCAAAGAUUACUUUGCCAAAUUAAGGAGAGAAGAUAGCGAGAGAGAGAGAGNNNNNNNNNNNNNNNNNNNNNNNNNNNNNNNNNNNNNNNNNNNNNNNNNNNNNNNNNNNNNNNNNNNNNNNNNNNNNNNNNNNNNNNNNNNNNNNNNNNNGAAUAAAACCUUACUUCUUUAUAUAUGAAGCCAGCCCCAGCCCCAGGGCAUCUAAUUGAGAAUCCAAUAAGUUUGUAGUAGCACUGAUCAACUUGAAAUUGGAUUGAUAAACAGUGGGACAUGCUGCUUCAAACAACAAUUAGCGUAUCUUAAUGCAAAAUAAAGGUUAUUCGUGCGGCCCCUUGGGGUGUAAUUAUUAGUCAAAAUUAUGUUUUGAAUGAUUGAAAAUAGCUGUAAGAGAAUAUAUUUUACUGUAGCAAACUUAUUCUACGUUGUGUGGAUAUGAUAUGAUAGAUGGUCAAACGGAGAACUGUAAAAAAAUUGGACAAGUUUGAAUUAUAAUGAGGAAAGUUGGUGGUGGUAGGCUCAGGGCCAGGCUAGGCUAGGCUAGGCUCGUAAACAAAAAGUUACCUAGAAUUCACUUUCAGCUGCUCCAUUCCUCUCCUCCUCAAACAUUAUUUUAUUUUAUUUAAUUAGUGUAAUUAAUUAUUUUAAUUGAGUAAAUUAUUUAAUUUAAUUAGAGAAGGUUUUAAUUAUAAGAGGGAAUGAUUGAGCAUGGUAAUUAAUUAAUUAUAUCAGGAAAGACUAUUGAAUUUGGUUGGUAGGGGAGUGAAUGGACAGACAGUAAAAGGAUAGAUAAGGGUAAGAAAGGAGAAAUAAGUGAAAAUGCAGUGUACUUUUUCUCCUGCCUUCUAACUUUUAUACUGUAAGUUUUUAUUUAAACAGAAAUAAUUUAAAUUUCUCCAAUUUUUAGUUUUUUUAGGGAGGAAAUAGAGGUAAAAAAUUGAUUCAAUUUUCCCCUCAAAAGUGGGAGAAUUCAGAGGGAUGGAAAAGUAAAAUAUUUUACAUUGCCAAAAUAACCUUAUAAAAUAUAUGACAAAUUUGCCCUCAUUAUUACAACUUUAUUUCAGCUAAUUUUAAUUGAUUUGUAUGCACAAAAAAAAAAAGCAGUAUGAAAAAUAGCAUAAGAUCUCGAGUAAAAAAUUUCAACCAGUGACGGUAGCAUUAAAAUACAACUUUUUUGGGAAAAUAAGAUUGGAUAAGAAAUCAGGCUUGGAUUUUGUGGAAGAGAAAAACAAAAGAGCGCUCAGUAAUUUCAGCUGCAAUCAUCUGCGAAAAUAAUCAUCACUUCCAUCUUAUUCAAUUACUAUUCAUAAAUGAAAAUAAAUUAAAAAAAAAAAAGAAAAAAGAAAAAUAGAUCAAAUUUCUCCAGAUGUGAUAAAAAUUACCUCCUGCAGAGGUUUAGUGAAAAGAUACAGAAACGGAGUACAUAAUUUUUUGUGCUUAUUCAAAUUACAAGUACGUUUUUUUAACAAAAAAUAAAUAUAGAAUAUAUAUAUAUANNNNNNNNNNNNNNNNNNNNNNNNNNNNNNNNNNNNNNNNNNNNNNNNNNNNNNNNNNNNNNNNNNNNNNNNNNNNNNNNNNNNNNNNNNNNNNNNNNNNAAAGUAAUAUAAUAAUAAUGUAAUUUAAAAAUAAGAAUCCCAAACAUAACCGUCCCUUCUUUUUUAAAACUCACAAACAUAAUCAAAGAAAAAUUAUACUAAUCCCUUGCUAUAUUUUUUCUUCUCAUCUCGUUCUUCCAAACUCACACGCAACAUUACAAACGUAACAUUAGUAGUAUUAAAGCGUUUUGUGUCGUUCAAGACAAAGGGCUAGUGCCUAGUGCCUAGUGCCUAGUAGUAGUGUUAAAUCUUCUUAAUUGUAUAGUUAUGAAAUACUGAAUCCCCAAAACAAAACUUGUUUCAAAAAGAAAAAGUCAACUUUCCGUUAGCAAAAUUGACGGAACUCUAAAACCCCUAAUUUGCCUCAUCCACGUCAUCUCGUUACAUAUAUUAUUAUUGUAUUUAUCUUUAAAAAAAUAUACAAAAUGAAAAUGGAUGACCAAAUGGUCACAGGAAGAUGUAUAUAUAUAUAUAUAUAUAUGUAUAUCUCUCUUUGCAGGUAUUCAUUAUUUCAUUGUUGUCCCGUGAGGAGAGUGCGUGCAGGUGCAGGUGCAGGUGCAGUGACCGAAACUAUUCAAUUUUUAGUGUUGCUCCCGUGAGUUUGGACGGACACGGACUAUUCAAUUUUUAGAGAAAAACAUAAAAAUAAUUUCUAAGUUAACUCGAUUAAAAUAAUACAUUCUAUAUACUAAUUAGGCUUAAAUAUGAAUUAAAAUCCUAAAUUAUAGGACAUAUUCCACUUCGAUGAUCCAUCUUUCAAUUUUAUCAAUUAGGUGUUUAAACUAUCAAUUUUUUUCAAUUGAAAAAAUUAAACACGCCACGUCAGAAAUUACUGACGUGGCUAAAUGAAGUGGGGUCUUAACAAGCUUACGUGGCAAAUAAAUAAUUUUUUAAUCAUUAAAUAAAUAAAUCCAUUUAAAUAAAGGGUAAAAUGGUCCAAACUUAAUUUAAACAUUAACUUAAAAUUCAUUCCAACAAAUAAUUCACAUCUGCAAACCCUCGAUCUAAAAAACCCACCAGUCUUUCUAAAAAACCUUAGCCGAAGAAGAAAUCGUCGGAGAAGAAGUCGCCGAAGAAGAAGACCUGUCCUCCACGUCCUUCACCGGAGCUGUAUUCCUUUCUGGUUCCAGUGCCGGUUUGGACUCGCACACACGCACCAACGGAAUCAAACAGAAGGUCAGCCUGGAGCUAGUUUAGAUGUUGGAUCUGAUCUUGCCAGUGGGUUGAUUCUGGUAUAGUCUUUAUGUGCUUUCGAUCUAGCCUCUUGAUUUAUUAAUUAUUUUAUUAGUGUUCAUUAUUUGAUUCCAGUAUAGUCUUUAUUUAAUUUGGCGAUUUGGAUGGUUGAUGAUUUUAGAUUUUGUUGUUUUAGAUUUUUUGUUAUUUUUGAUCUGGUAUUAGUAUAGAUUUUAGAUAGUUUGGAUCCAAACUUCGGUGACUUUGCUCCGGGACCGGUGAAGGUGGAACGAAAAGGAAGAAGAAGAGGCGACUUUGCUCCAGGAAAUGAUUUCUCCGACUUGAAGAAGAGGCGACUUUGCUCUGGGAAAUGAUUUCUCCGACUUUUCUCCGACUUUUUCUCUUCUUACGUAUCAUUGGUGGAGGUGGUGGCUAUGGAGGUCGCCGGAAAAGUGGUGGCAGUGGUGGCUAGGUUAUAGACAAUUGGUCUUUAAUUUUCGAUUUGUGUUGAUUGUUGUCGCCAUUGUUGAUUGCAAUGAAAAAGAUGAGAAAGAGAAAAUAGAAUUGAAAAUGGAAUAUUAGAAAUGUUAAUUUAUAUUUUGACUGUUUUGCCCUUUGUUUAAUAAGAGUUGUUUAUUUAAUAAUUAAAAAAAAUAAAUUUGCCACAAACUUCUU
rnacentral:lncRNA from 1 species